rnacentral:rRNA from 1 species
AUUGAACGCUGGCGGCAGGCCUAACACAUGCAAGUCGAGCGGAUGAGUGGAGCUUGCUCCAUGAUUCAGCGGCGGACGGGUGAGUAAUGCCUAGGAAUCUGCCUGGUAGUGGGGGACAACGUUUCGAAAGGAACGCUAAUACUGCAUACGUCCUCAGAGAGAACGCAGGGGACCUUCGGGCCUUGCGCUAUCAGAUGAGCCUAGGUCGGAUUAGCUAGUAGGUGAGGUAAGGGCUCACCUAGGCGACGAUCCGUAACUGGUCUGAGAGGAUGAUCAGUCACACUGGAACUGAGAUACGGUCCAGGCUCCUACGGGAGGCAGCAGUGGGAAAUAUUGGACAAUGGGCGAAAGCCUGAUCCAGCCAUGCCGCGUGUGUGAAGAAGGUCUUCGGAUUGUAAAGCACUUUAAGUUGGGAGGAAGGGCAGUAAGUUAAUACCUUGCUGUUUUGACGUUACCAACAGAAUAAGCACCGGCUAACUUCGUGCCAGCAGCCGCAGUAAAAC